UGGUCUAGUGGUUAGAACGCUGGCCUUGUAAUCCUGGGGUCCCGGGUUCAAUUCCCGG
rnacentral:tRNA from 1 species